rnacentral:rRNA from 1 species
AUGGCGAGCGGCGGCGGCGACGACGCGGGCGAGAAGCGCGUCACGGACCGCUACCUCAAGCGCGAGGUCCUCGGAGAGGGCACGUACGGGGUCGUCUUCAAGGCCAUCGACACCAAGACUGGGGAAACAGUUGCAAUCAAGCGAAUCCGCCUAGGGAAGUACAAGGAAGGCGUCAACUUCACUGCAUUGAGGGAAAUCAAGCUGCUUAAGGAGCUGAAAGAUCCUAAUAUUAUAGAGUUGAUUGAUGCUUUCCCUUACAAGGGAAACUUGCACCUUGUAUUUGAGUUCAUGGAAACAGACCUGGAAGCAGUCAUUCGUGAUAGGAACAUUGUAUUAUCUCCAGCGGACAUAAAAUCUUAUAUUCAGAUGAUGUUGAAAGGUCUAGCCUUUUGCCAUAAGAAGUGGGUGCUGCACAGGGAUAUGAAACCAAAUAAUCUACUUAUCGGUGCUGAAGGACAGCUCAAGCUUGGCGAUUUUGGUCUAGCACGCAUAUUUGGGAGCCCAGAACGGAACUUCACUCACCAGGUCUUUGCAAGAUGGUACCGAGCGCCAGAGUUACUGUUUGGCACUAAGCAGUAUGGAUCUGCCGUUGAUGUUUGGGCUGCUGGUUGUAUUUUUGCCGAGUUGCUGCUUAGAAGACCAUUUCUCCAGGGUUCUAGUGACAUUGAUCAACUCGGGAAGAUCUUUGCGGCAUUUGGAACCCCAAAGUCUUCUCAAUGGCCAGACAUGGUUUGCCUUCCAGAUUACGUUGAAUACCAGUUUGUCUCUGCUCCCCCUCUUCGUUCGUUGUUUCCAAUGGCCAGUGAUGAUGCUUUGGACCUUCUGUCAAGAAUGUUUACAUAUGACCCAAAAGCAAGAAUCACUGCUCAGCAGGCUCUAGAACACAGGUACUUCUCAUCAGUACCAGCUCCAACAAAACCAAAUUUGCUGCCAAGGCCUAAGCUGAAAGGGGACCCAGGGAAUGACAAGAUACCUGAUCUGAAUCUGCAGGGCGGCCCUGUCGUUGUGUCCCCGCCGAGGAAGUUGCGCAGAGUGUCUGCCCCUGAUGGGAUGGAAAUCAAUGCUCAUCCAGCAGAGAAAGCAGAAGAGCAUCCUACUACAGGCAUGAGGCGCAGCGAGGGCAUGUCCAGUCAGAGUUCUAGAAUACCAAUGUCAGUUGAUGUUGGAGUUGUGUUUGGCACACGACCAGCUCCUCGACCAACAUUGAAUAGUGCUGACAAGUCGUGUCUAAAAAGGAAAUUAGAUAUGGAUCCUGACUUCGAGUACGCAGAGUAA